UUUAUCCGUUUUGUAUUACCCAUAUCCAACAUGACCUGCCCGUUUGCCACCCCUAAUCCCAAUACAUAAAGAAGAUUUGAGCUGGUCAAUUUUUCAAAAAGCUAAUCCAUCCCAUGUCUCAAUGCAUAUGUAGUAAAGGCAACGGUAAUUACACUUUGUAUGAUCAGUUGGGCUAUGUAGUAAAGGCUUUCUUGGAUUGGAGAAAAGAAUCUAAAUGACCAAACCAGCCAAGUGAUCAUGUUAAUGGAAGAAUGUUGUACCAAUCCAACAUUAAGAUAAGAAUAAACACUAGAGACAAUUGGCCAUAAUCUUCAACAAAUUACUAGCACUUCACACUAGCUAAACGUUUCUUCAACUUUGGCUUUUUCAAUUUCUUCACGUAAUUCCUUUUCCCAUGUCUAUUUUUUCUUGUUGAUUUGUUGUUCAUCAAAUCCUUCACCCAUCAACAAUGAAAUUUCUUUUUCUGUUUCAGAUCCAAAGUCCUUUUUAUAUUUUCUCUUUGGCCCUGUAACGUUAACUUUGCUUGUUUUAUCCCUUCAAACAAUUCCUUUUUCCACAUCUCUUUAUUCUUGAAAUUGCUCUGUUGGAAGCAAGCCAUUAGAGAAUAAAAACUUUGGGCAGAGAAAGAAAAAUAUAUAGAGAAUGAGAGAAUAAUAAUACUGAGAAGCAAUUUGGGCAGAGAAAGAGAAUGAGAGAAUAGUAAUAACAGUGAGGAGCAGCUUUGGGCAGAGAAAGAAAAGUAUAUAUAGACAAUGCUUUCCCUGAUUGACACUCUUUCCUAUUCCUAUCAUCUAUAGGAAAGGAAAUUUUGUAGGAAGGCUAAAGUCAAUAACGUUUCGGAAAUUUGUUUAACCAAAAUUGUUACAAUUUUAUGUUUAAUUUUGUGUCAAAUCUCAAGAGAUCUUAAUUUUCACAGGUAAGAAAUCCAAAAAUUAAAUACAAGAUAUCUUUGCUCAGCCAUUUUCUUCUAAUCAAAGCGUAAAAAGUCAUAUUGAACCAUUUCUUUUAAGGUGACACCUUGACGUUGUCAUGUUUUACCAAAUAUUAUUUUUUGGCAAUUAAAGAAAUUUUAAUAAUUACCGAGUAGCUGUACAAAACGAGGGCAAAACAAACUAGUUCACGCCCCUCUCAAAAAAACUGUAUCCUAUGCAACUAGAAGCCUUAAAAACAUUUACCAAAUAUUAUUCAGAUGUCCUAAAUGGUAAUUCAGUUGAAUCUUAACCUUUGACUAGUGUAUUUUUACAAACUUAAACGUGAUUAUACAGAAGUCGAAAAUUUUCAGAAACAAAAAGAUCGCCUGCCUGAAAGAUGGCUGCUCCUAGUAUGCAAUUCAAAGAGUGCCAGCUCCCCCUUCUAUUUGUGAUCUUAAGUACCUAAUUAACCAUAGCAUUACUAAGCAAGGAAGAAAAAAAGUACUUAAUAAGUUUCGACUUUAAAUAAUUUCACUUCAAAAUAGUUCAAGGAGUAAUAGGAUCACUGCAAAGUAAAGGUAUGUAACUCAAAAUCCAGAUCGAGUUCAAGGGGGUUUUUUAUGCUUUUUUCCUAACAUUUAGUAAAACUUGGAGAAGUAUCCAAAACUAUCACCACGAGUAUCAUUUUCUUUAUCAGACUGAGCUGAUUAAAAAGAGUUAUACCAUAAGUAACCAGAAACUAUCACCAUAAGUAUGACUAGAACAAUUAAAUAAGAAAAAAUGGACCUGACAACUAUUCCAAUACAUAAAGAAGACUUGAGCUGGUCAAUUUCUCAAAGCUAAUCCAUCCCAUGUCUCUGUCUAAGCUACAAGUGUACUCGCUGUGGUAGACUCACUGCAUAUAAGAAACAUUCACAAUCAGCAAUGGCAAGGAGAACACUAACCAGGAAUUACACUUUGUAUGAUCAGUUGGGCUACUGGAACCAUGUAGUAAAGGCUUUCUUGGAUAGGAAAAAAGAAAAAUAAAUACAAAAUGAAUGGAUAAACGACGUCCGUAGAGAUUUCAGAAUAAUGUACAUCUCCCCGUCCCAUUUAAGUGCCCUGCAUUCUAGUGUUAAGAUUAAAGUUUAAACUUCGAGAAAUUUAAGAAAAAGUUGAUUUACAAUUCAAGACUACAAAUUCAACUUCCCUUCAAAUGUACUUCCUGCAGCACAACAUUGAGAAGAUACUGGUAAGUGUAGGGAAAUUACAUUUUGUUUCAAGAAAGUGACAAAAUUUCGGCACUAGCUCAUUAAUUAGCAGAGAAUCAAGGAAAGGUUUGCAUUUCAAAGAUGGUUCUAAUAGUCCUAAGUCCAACAGAUUAUAUUUGAAAUGGUGUAUGGAUCAGGAAGAGAGUCUAGCAGCAAUGCAAUCCAAAGAUGCUAUACAGCAUAGCUCAUACUGAACGAUUACUAAACUAAAAGUUAUAGCCUAUAUGGACUACUCGAGUCUAAUUAGUUUUGGAAUGUAACCUUACUUGGGUCAAAUAAGAACAAGUGGCUCAAGAACUACACGAUGCCUCAAGGUUAUGGAAACUGGAAAGGACAAAAUAUAAGUUCCUGGGAGAAGCCAUCGGCACAACAAGUUGUGUAAGACAAGUUGUGUAAGAACUAGGGGUAGCAAAAUGGUUCAAAGAAAACAGUUAACCACCCAUAUUAUCCAUUAAA
rnacentral:lncRNA from 1 species